GGGGAAUCUUAGACAAUGGGGGAAACCCUGAUCUAGCCAUGCCGCGUGAUCGAUGAAGGCCUUAGGGUUGUAAAGAUCUUUCAGUGGGGAAGAUAAUGACUGUACCCACAGAAGAAGCCCCGGCUAACUCCGUGCCAGCAGCCGCGGUAAUACGGAGGGGGCUAGCGUUGUUCGGAAUUACUGGGCGUAAAGCGCACGUAGGCGGAACAGAAAGUCAGAGGUGAAAUCCCAGGGCUCAACCUUGGAACUGCCUUUGAAACUCCUGUUCUUGAGGUCGAGAGAGGUGAGUGGAAUUCCGAGUGUAGAGGUGAAAUUCGUAGAUAUUCGGAGGAACACCAGUGGCGAAGGCGGCUCACUGGCUCGAUACUGACGCUGAGGUGCGAAAGCGUGGGGAGCAAAC
rnacentral:rRNA from 1 species